UCGCAGCCGGGACGUUUUCACAAGCGCCAAUUAGUUGUUGAUCAUCGAUCGGAGAAACCACUCCUGGCACUAGCGACAUACAGUUAAUCGCUGACCUAUUUAUAUCAUUUGCGUCGUUUCAGAACCGAAAGAAGAAGGAAAAAAGUUGCAGACUUUGGAAACUGCUGAUGAAUGAAACGCAAUCAAUACGAUGUAUUCUUGACAAGUGGAUCGAUGAUGUAUACAGAGUAGCACUGCCUGGGAAACACCGAACUAGACGAAUAAUCCAUGCGAAACGAACGCCGAAAGUGGUCGACCGGUUCCUCGGCAUCCGGCGGAUGUGGAGGGAACGGGAACCCCGCCGAUCGAUUUUCGUGGGGCGUCUCACGAGGGUCUUUCGAGACGUCUUUCGGGCAGGAUGGUCGGCCGGCCACUGAUCGAGAUGCGUGCAGAAAUUCGUAGAGUCCUACUGAAGAAGAUCGCUGUUGCUUCGUCAAACAAGAUAAUAGUGUUUGCACGGGGACGAGUAUGUAGUACGUGUUUAAACAUGGUAAUAAUGAAUUUAAAUGGAUGUUAACGAAGAACGUCCGAAACUGCCGCGACCUGCAGCUGUACGAUAUAUCUUUCAUCUACAAUGAAGCGCUCGGGAAGAGAGCAUCGUUCAAGAACGCCCGCGCGAUGAUAAUGUGCACCGUUUCCGCCGCAUUGAACUUUAGCUUUUGUACAAAGAAGCGCUGCUAAAAAUGCCGGAUUAUUCUCAAGCCACAUUUAACAUCAAACACAAUGUUCUUUGAAAAUUCUAAAGACUGGAAAAAAUUUGCAGAGACCGAGUAGAAUAAUUCAAUAAUAAACUAUGAGUUUUUCGUUAAAUUAUUAAAUAAGGUUUCUUAUUGUUAAUUUUUGGGAUGUUUAAAUGUAUCUGUUCUUCUCUUUUAACAAAUUAUAAUUCUAUUAUGUGAUAAACUGACAUAAAAGAAAUAUUUUGCAAAAUGUGAUAUGUAUUGUAAAGAUGUGUGACAAGUAAGACAUUUAUAAUAAUA